GACGAACGCUGGCGGCGUGCCUAACACAUGCAAGUCGAACGAAAGCUCUCUGGUGCUUUGCCUUGACAGAUUGCGCGUCGCACGGGUGAGAAGCACGUAACGAACCCUACUCUUUGGUUGGGACUAAUGUAGGAAACGAUACCCAAUUCCGGAAAACAGUCUUUCUCUGAUGAGAGAGGUUUAUAAGUUCGUUCUGCUAAGACUAUGCGGUUGCUUGGCGUUGGAUUAGCUAGUUGGAGGGGUAAAGGCCCACCAAGGCGACGAUGCGUAGCCGAGCUGAGAGGGUGAUCGGCCACACUGGAACUGAGACACGGCCCAGACUCCUACGGGAGGCAGCAGUAGGGAAUCUUACGCAAUGGGCGGAAGCCUGACGCAGCAACGCCGCGUGGGUGAAGAAGGAUUUCGGUUCGUAAUGCCCUGUUGUUGGGAAAGAAAAGCUGUGGGGUAACACUACGCGUUAGUGACGGUACCUAAAGAAGAAGCAACGGCUAACUACGUG
rnacentral:rRNA from 1 species